GGCUAAGGGAGGGAGUUGAAGUCCAUUUUGAGCUCUGAGAUGACACCUGAGUCCUGCAGCCAGCUUACAGACAUGCUCCAAGGGCAAACAUGUCACAAUGCCCUUCCAUUCACUUCACAGUUCCCAUUUUCCUCGAAAACAACUGAUCUGUGAGCAGGAAAACCAUUUACUCAAAAAUAAAGAGUAAAAUGUUUUUCCUCUUCGAUAAUGUUCCCUGUUCUUUCAGUAGGUAUUAUGUUCUGUAAUGUGCUGUGUGUGCACCCAUUUUGUCAUCGCUUUGGGUCAUCCUCGCUCACAAUUGGUUAUUUACUCAGGGGCUUUUGAAAUUAUUGAGUUGACACAUCUGUCAGACAGCAAAAGCAGAAAUGCUAAAAGGUCACUUGGAGAGAAACCAGCUGCUUCAGACAAACCUUUCUGCCUUCAAAUAGCACAAUCAUUAUAGUCUAACAGAUGGGGCCUCUGCUUUCAUUUCUGCUUUUCUCCUUCACUUCAGGUAUUUAGAUAUACUACCUCAUUGCCAGGUCAACACAGGCCUUCUAGUAAUUACCUACACAAUAGGCAGCUCUCAGCUUAGGAGAAAACAGCUCCAUUUUCUGUCUGCAAAUGGGGAACCUGUUUCAUCACAGAUAUGAGUUACAGAAGGUUGGCCACAAACUUUCCUAUUAACAGAUUAAUUUGGACACCAGUCAUUACUCUAGGAAGCAUGAAUUUAGUACUGAUCUAACACUUCAGAGAGCCUGGGGGCUUUUGGCAAAGAUGGUGAUAAAUAGAAGUGAGUGAAUAAUUCUUAACAAAUAAUUUAGUCAACAAGUUUGGACUCCCUGCCUGUUUGGUGAACAUUAACCAAGCAGUUGUGACUCCCUGUGACGUAUCCAAUAUCGGUGUUUUUGAAGAAGCGUCCAUUCAGAUGAUUUACACUGCAGCUGAUGAGUGAUGAUGAUUCUGAAUCAUGCUGUUGGGCUGCUGUGAGCUGUAAAUCAUGUGAUACUGUUUCUGUGCCGUCACUGGGCACAGCAGAGGGAUUGCUUCUGACAUAAUAGCUCUCCUGUUUUAAACUUCUCUUUCAGGGGAAAGUGUCACAUGUCAAAAGCUUGAUUUCUCAUCAAGCAUGUGGAAAAGGAACAAUGGGAAGCUGCAGAAGUAUUCAGACAUGGAGUACCUGGCAUAGCGAUGCUUGGCAACGAAGCACAGCUUAAUAGGCACAAGUGCUGGCUGCUAGUGAGCUGCUAGGAGCUGGAUUGGCAGUGUUCAGCCUCGGAAUGAUUUCCUGUGCUGCUCAGGAGUCCCUGGUCAG